UGGGGAAUUUUGGACAAUGGGCGAAAGCCUGAUCCAGCAAUGCCGCGUGUGUGAAGAAGGCCUUCGGGUUGUAAAGCGCUUUUGUCCGGAAAGAAAUCCUUGGCUCUAAUACAGUCGGGGGAUGACGGUACCGGAAGAAUAAGCACCGGCUAACUACGUGCCAGCAGCCGCGGUAAUACGUAGGGUGCAAGCGUUAAUCGGAAUUACUGGGCGUAAAGCGUGCGCAGGCGGUUUGCUAAGACCGAUGUGAAAUCCCCGGGCUCAACCUGGGAACUGCAUUGGUGACUGGCAGGCUAGAGUAUGGCAGAGGGGGGUAGAAUUCCACGUGUAGCAGUGAAAUGCGUAGAGAUGUGGAGGAAUACCGAUGGCGAAGGCAGCCCCCUGGGCCAAAUACUGACGCUCAUGCACGAAAGCGUGGGGAGCAAACAGGAUUAGAUACCCUGGUAGUCCACGCCCUAAAACGAUGUCAACUAGUUGUUGGGGAUUCAUUUCCUUAGUAACGUAGCUAACGCGUGAAGUUGACCGCCUGGGGAGUACGGUCGCAAGAUUAAAAACUUAAAGGAAUUGACGGGGUCAUAGCUGUUUCCU
rnacentral:rRNA from 1 species